GCCUGAGUGGCUCAGUUGGUUAAGCGUCUGACUUCAGCUCAGGUCACGAUCUCACAGUUUGUGGGUUCAAGCCCCGCAUCAGGUU
rnacentral:tRNA from 1 species